CGAUGCAAGGAGCUAUAAAGAGAAAAUCAAGGUUUCUGCUUUUAAUUUCAUAGGUCACAGAAUUAUACGAUCCAGAACUAGACAAAUGAGUGAUUUGUGGAAAGUACGCGAUGCCUUUUGCCAUAAAGCCUGUCACCCUUACACACUUCAUUGUCUCAUCAGGAAUGAGCGUGUCUGCUAUUGCCUGUGCUGCCGUGAACCGAAAACCUUUCAGAUCAAAGACUCCCUAAGCUCCUUAUUGCUGUGCAAAUGUGAAAAACCCAAACCUUAGCAAUGGAUUGGAAGCACUGAUUCUCCUAAAGUCCCCUAAGCAAACUGAACACUGAGCUGCCAUGUCAAGCCUGUUAAGUCAUUUGAAGGAAUUUGGGAAGUCAGCACACUUGGGGUAAUUUCCUGGCAAUUCAUCUAUAAUGUCUACUGCCUGUUCCAAUUUCUGACACAUAGAUAUAUUAUACCCAAUUGUGACCAGCCUGCAUAAACAGUAAGCUCUCUUGAAAAUUCCGAAUGUGAAGACAUAAGCUUUCUUAGUACUUUUAGAAAGGUAGAUAAAUCAUAUUGAACUUGAAAUAACAGAUGAUCACAUCUUGAAUGGGUGAAUACAUGUGUAUAAUUUUAUCUAAGAACUGAAUGUAAAACAUGACAAUAAUAUAACUACUAAUUUUUAAAAUUAUUUCAGAGUGCUUGCCAAAUACUUAAACACCUGAAGCAAUCCUACAGCAUAUGAUAAAUUUUCAUGUUUGUCUAACAUAAGCUUCUCCCAUUUAUUUGUAGAAAAUUACUUGACUUCUUUCCAAAGUGUGUUUGAUUUCACUUGAAUUUACCAGGCUGCCAGUGCAUAUUUCAAAUUAUGCAGUUUUCUGAAAGAGAUUGAUAUGUCAUAGGAAUUUUGGUGGAGUUUUAUUAUAAAAGGAAUUGAAAGCUUUCAAAAGAUCAGGGGCAAUAAUGCAAGGAUGUAGGUCAGCUGAAAUUUAAAGUUCAUGGAGCACUCUGAAGGCUUUUAAAUACCUCUCAGCAGGAAAUCUGUGAGUAGAACUGCAGGUCCUUGCCAUGUGGAAAUGCCUUUUCCUUAUGAAGUUGUAGUUCUGAACUCCAGAACACUCACAUAGCCCCAAAUCUUUUCUCUUUCAUCAGUGUCUGAAGAUGCAAAGUUCUGGUGGGCUUUUCAUCAGAAAAAUGACAGAAACAAGACAUGGCCAAGGAAAUAUACAAUUAUUUUAUAUGUUUUGAUCCACUAAGUUGUGAAAUUAAGUAAACUCUGUGUGGAUAUCCUUUUUUAAAGGUGGACAGAAUAGUUUGGUGGAUGAAGGAAGGCUGGUUUAGAAACCAAGUUGUGUCCACUGUAUUUUAAAAGAGAAGCAUUUCCUUUACAAAUAUUAAUAGAUGACAGACUUCCUCAGCCUAUUGAAAUGAAUAUAUUUUUUAUCAUAACUAAUGUAUUUCAGAUCCCACUUCAAACCCUUCUUUUUCCUCCAGCAUGGUACAACGUUAAUUGAAACCACACAGGUUCCCUUUUCGCAGCCCAAAGUCUGGUGAUGAAGUCUUAAGAACCAGUUCCCUUUUUGUUCUCUCAGUCCUUUAAUUUUCAUCCUAUUUCCAAAGUUCACACUAUUUCUCUUUCUGGAUAGAACUGAAAUUUUUUGCUUUUUGUACCUUUUUUUUUUUUUUUUUUGGUAAAAGUAAUAAAAAAUGUACAGAAAACAAA